rnacentral:rRNA from 1 species
AUUGAACGCUGGCGGCAGGCCUAACACAUGCAAGUCGAGCGAGCGGCGGGCGGGUGCGUAAUGUAUGGGGACUGCCCGUUAGAGGGGGAUCACUACUGGAAACGGUAUCUAAUACCGCAUACUAUCGGAUAACCCAUAGGGGAUUAGCUAGUAGGUGAGGUAAUGGCCCACCUAGGCGACGAUCCCUAGCUGAUCUGAGAGGUUGAUCGGCCACACUGGGACUGAGACACGGCCCAGACUCCUACGGAGGCAGCAGUGGGGAAUAUUGGACAAUGGGCGCAAGUCUGAGGCAGCAAUGCCGCGUGUAUGAAGAAGGCCUUAGGGUUGUAAAGUACUGUCAGUCGGGAGGCGUUACCGACAGAAGAAGCACCGGCUAACUACGUGCCAGCAGCCGCGGUAAUUC